GAAUCUUUUUGUUUACUUUGUUGAUUGUUUCUCUUUUUUAAUUAUUUUUUUUCUCUUUUAUUAUUUAUGUCAUUUAUUUCUUAAUUGUUGAUCAUAUUUUUUAUUCUUUUCCACUUGUAAUUCCUAAUUCAGUUGCGAAUUCAGGUGUCAAUUGGUCGUUGAAUUGGAAGUUGAGAAAAUGUCUCUUCUCUUUGGCGUUGGUUUGAUUGUUCAUAUCUUUGGAUUGGCGAUUCUUCAAGAUUAAGAGCUGAUUGUUAUUCAUUAUGGUGGAAUUUCAAAAUUAUUCUUUUAUCUAAUUCUCUUUAUUAGAAUUUCAUCUUUAGCAUGAUCAUUUUGGUGUAGUGUCUUUGGAGAAGGAGGUAAAAACAACGAAAUGGAACUGGAAAUGAUGAUACACCAAGAUGAAUAUGAUUACAAUUUGUUACUCUCCACAGGAAUCAUCAUUCAGAUUGCUUACAUUAUUGCCCAUCAAUUUAAUGGACCAAAAUUACCUAACUAAAUAUCGUCAAUUGUUAAUAUGCUGCUGAUUUGAUUGUCUUGAUAAUUUCCAUUGUUAUCACCUUAAUCAUCCAUUUCAAUCAACUAAUUUUUACUCUACAAUCUUAAAGUAUCACAAUUGGAUCAUCAGUUGGAUACAAAUUUAAUCAAAUUUCAUCAGCUGAUUUCCAUUAGAUAAACAUAUCAAAAUCAGUUAAUUUCUUUCAGGUAACAAUCCUCCAAUUCCUGUAACUACUGAUUAAUGGGGAUACUUAAUAAUGGAUUGUUUUUGUUUUUUUAACAACAAUGUUAAGCAAUCACCAUGAGAUUCAUUUAAUGCUUAAUUUAACUGAUUUAUGCUGGAUAAUCAAGUGAAUAUAUCAUAAUAUCUAUGAACCAUAUAACUACGUCAUCUUUAAUUCACCUAAACCAGCUUAACCAUUUCAUCAUAACAGACUAACCCUUUUAAAAGCUUAAGCCAUAAGCCUAAUCAUUUGUUAUUAAUUUAUGAAUGAGUAUUUUGCUUCAAAAUAUCAUCAUCAUCAUCAUCUCUUUCUUUUCCUCUCUUAGAUUUAUCUUCAAUAUAAACAAGGAAACAUUCAUCAUUCAUCAUUCAUCCCUGAUUCCUUAUCAUCAUCCAACAGUAUUAAUAAUAUUAAUCUGGCAACACCAAAAUAAAGCAAAGUGAUCACCUUAUCUCAAUUAUCAUCUACAUUAUCCUCAUCAUAUGUAUUAUCAGGAUGGAGAUGAAAAAAGAGACAAAGUUCACCCAACAACAUGUUCCUCAUUGAGAUUGAAUUAGAUGAUAAGAAAGAGAUGUCAACCUUUAUCCCCUUUAAAGAUCAAGAGUAAUUUCAAACAAUCAAAUAUUAAAUUAAUUGGUCACCCUCUUCUUUUCGUGUUCUAUGAGUACUCACUACCCACCCUCGAGUGUUCUAAUAGCUGUUGACUCUUAAAUCAGUUGUCAGGAGUUAGAGAGAGAGAGAGAGAGAGAGAGAGAGAGAGAGAGAGAGAGAGAGAGAGAGAGUAAAUGAUAUCACUAUUGGCUCAUUGACGCUCUUUUAUAUUGGUGAUUUUAAUAACAGUGAUAAACUAGUGACUCGAAAAUCAACUGGUUAAUGUACAAAUUUGUACUACGGUCGAGUACCUAUUGAAGUAUCUUUCUCUCUGGUGAGGAAUCAAAAGGAUAAUCCUAAAUUAACUCAAGAGGGAGAUCGUGAAAUUAAACAACAAAAGAGAGUCACAUUCAAUCACAAUAGAUUAUCGUAAAUUAUUGACGUUUUUUACUCUCCACUAAAGGUUCACUUGUAUUGAAAAUUAUUGAUUUGGAUUUAAAAACAAUAGGAAUUGAAUGAUCAAAAUUCACGACGAUUUGGACUAAACUCUUAUCAUUGCUUUUCUCUAGUGAAUAUACAUUGUAAAAACUAAAGGAAUUGGAAUUAUCAUCGAAAAUGGAUCAAAGAUAAAGAGAUAGGAAGAUGAGCUUUAAAUGUCACCUCGAAAUUCAAUAGCAACAAUUAAUCCUUGUCUCAUCCCAAAGGAACGCACUAAAAGGGACUGUCAUAUUUCACUAAUCUUUUUUUCCUUCUCUUACUUUAAUUUCCUCUGUCUCU